rnacentral:rRNA from 1 species
GAUGAACGCUGGCGGCGUGCCUAAUACAUGCAAGUCGAGCGAAUGGAUUGAGAGCUUGCUCUUAUGAAGUUAGCGGCGGACGGGUGAGUAACACGUGGGUAACCUGCCCAUAAGACUGGGAUAACUCCGGGAAACCGGGGCUAAUACCGGAUAACAUUUUGAACCGCAUGGUUCGAAAUUGAAAGGCGGCUUCGGCUGUCACUUAUGGAUGGACCCGCGUCGCAUUAGCUAGUUGGUGAGGUAACGGCUCACCAAGGCAACGAUGCGUAGCCGACAUGAGAGGGGGAUCGGCCAAACUGGGACUGAGACACGGCCCAGACUCCUACGGGAAGCAGCAGGAGGGAAUCUUCCGCAAUGGACGAAAGUCUGACGGAGCAACGCCGCGUGAGUGAUGAAGGCUUUCGGGUCGUAAAACUCUGUUGUUAGGGAAGAACAAGUGCUAGUUGAAUAAGCUGGCACCUUGACGGUACCUAACCAGAAAGCCACGGCUAACUACGUGCCAGCAGCCGCGGUAA